rnacentral:rRNA from 1 species
GACGAACGCUGGCGGCGUGCCUAAUACAUGCAAGUAGAACGCUGAAGGAGGAGCUUGCUCUUCUGGAUGAGUUGCGAACGGGUGAGUAACGCGUAGGUAACCUGCCUGGUAGCGGGGGAUAACUAUUGGAAACGAUAGCUAAUACCGCAUAACAGUAGAUGUUGCAUGACAUUUGCUUAAAAGGUGCAAUUGCACCACUACCAGAUGGACCUGCGUUGUAUUAGCUAGUUGGUGGGGUAACGGCUCACCAAGGCGACGAUACAUAGCCGACCUGAGAGGGUGAUCGGCCACACUGGGACUGAGACACGGCCCAGACUCCUACGGGAGGCAGCAGUAGGGAAUCUUCGGCAAUAGACGGAAGUCUGACCGAGCAACGCCUCGUGAGUGAAGAAGGUUUUCGGAUCGUAAAGCUCUGUUGUAAGAGAAGAACGAGUGUGAGAGUGGAAAGUUCACACUGUGACGGUAUCUUACCAGAAAGGGACGGCUAACUACGUG